CCUACGGGAGGCAGCAGUGGGGAAUAUUGCACAAUGGUGGAAACCCUGAUGCAGCGACGCCGCGUGAGUGAGGAAGUAUUUCGGUAUGUCAAGCUCUAUCAGCAGGGAAGAAAAUGACGGUACCUGACUAAGACGCCCCGGCUAACUCCGUGCCAGCAGCCGCGGUACUACGUAGGGGGCAAGCGUUAUCCGGAUUUACUGGGUGUACAGGGAGCGUAGACGGUUAAUCAAGUCAGAAGUGAAAACCCAGGGCGUAAACUUGGGACUGCUUUUGAAACUGAGUAGCUAGAGUGCAGGAGAGGUAAGCGGAAUUCCUAGUGUAGCGGUGAAAUGCGUAGAUAUUAGGAGGAACACCAGUGGCGAAGGCGGAUUACUGGACUGUAACUGACGUUGAGGCUCGAAAGCGUGGGGAGCAAACAGGAUUAGAUACCCCUGUAGUC
rnacentral:rRNA from 1 species